rnacentral:rRNA from 1 species
UGAGGAACAUGACCUUCGGCGGGGGAUAGCCGGCCCAACGGCCGGGUAAUACCGCGUACGACCUUUCGGGGACAUCCUCGGAUGGUGAAAGCAGCAAUGCGCCGAUGGAGUGCCUCGCGGCCUAUCAGCUAGUUGGUGAGGUAACGGCUCACAAGGCAACGACGGGUAGCCGGCUGAGAGGGCGAUCGGCCACACUGGGACUGAGACACGGCCCAGACCUCCGUACGGGAGCAGCAGGG